GACCCAAGGCCCAGUCCCGUGAAAGCCGGGGCCGUCCGAAAGGGCGCGGCGCUCAUCG
rnacentral:ribozyme from 1 species